rnacentral:piRNA from 1 species
UAUUAAAAAUUUUAGGUGUUUAAAAGC